GAAGAGCUCUCCCUUACUAAAGCAUACAGAGAGCUUCCAGAAACCACAAUCUGCAGAAACUGUGUAAAAACAAAUGUUCGUCUCCCCCUGUGACAACAUGUUGGGGUUAUUUUUGCCCAUCUGGAACAUACUCUAGUGUUCCCUUCAGGCACUUGAGAGAGAACGGUGCAUGUGAUGAAGGGACUGGAGAGACUGACUUGUUCAGAAAAAUUAAAGCAACUCUGUAUGCGCAGGAAACAAGACUGAAGCCUGACUGUGCAGUGCCAUGAUGACGGGCUGGUAACACUGGGAAGAAUUCAGCGUGGCCAAGCUGAGUCUGUUAGUACAGGAAUAGAUGCAUGUUGGCCUUGGAUAGACAUGAAUGACAUUACUGCUGGUUUCUAUUGACACGGGAUUUGAGAAGAGAAAGGCAAAGUCCAAGUGGCAGCUGAGCUCUUCACCUGGAGGUGCACCAUGUACCCUCACAUUGUACUUGUACAGAUGAAAAGAAGAAAUGGAGAUGGGAAGGGAAGGAAAAAUAAUGAAGAAAGGAAGAAAAGAAGAAAGGAAGGAGCCAAGAUGCACUAAGUAAAGGAUUAGACAAAGAUGGCCAAUGUCAAGAAAAUUUACAGAUGAGCUUAUAAUAACUUAGGAGCUUAACUAUUUCAUCAAAAAGAUUGUACUUAUUUGGGACUCAGCAAACGUGUUCUAGAUACUCCAGGACCUUCUUCUUGUGAUCAUUAAGACAGAAUAACUAUUCCCAGAGUAGAAAUAUCAGCAUCAUAAAAAAAGUAUAGUGAAAUCUCAAGAUUUCCUUUACUCCAAGAUUAGAAUUUAUAGGAAAAGUAGGGCCUCUUAAGAACAAGACUGACUGGGGCCCCUCUGAGCAUAUCCCAAGGGCCAGCCUGACAUUGUUAUCCCUAAAAGACCACUGAAAAUUUAACAGGACAGUUGUCUGCCAAAGACAAACAGGAACAAAUGCUUGAAAUCUCUGACUAUGAUACCAUAUGUGACAAAAAAGCAGACAUGAUUGUGUUAAGUGUUUUAAGAUUCAUUACUGAUGUUACUGAGGUGUGCCUUAAAAAUUGGAGAAUCCUUUCCAGUUACGAUUAGAGAGAGAGAGACAUGACUAUGGAAAUAUGAUAAGAGAUGCGGUGCUGCGGGCACCGGGGAUGGACGGAGAUGACCACAAAUUAAGGAAGACUGUGGGAAGCCUCUAGAAGAUGAAAAAAGCAAAGAUUCUCUCCUUGAACCUACAGAGAGGAAUGCAGCCUUGCCAGCCUCUGCAUUUUUAGUCCCGCGAGACCUAUGUGGAACUGACCUAAACUCCUAUAAAAUAAUAAGUGUGUUUUACCCUAAGCCUAAGUUGAUGGUGAUUUGUUACAGUAGCAAUAGAAACUAAUACAGGCAUCAUUAACCAAGAGUGACACGAUUCUUUACAGUUGAUAAAAUUACAUCUCAUAUCAUAUCCAACCAAUUUGAGAAUGAAGAUGGGAGGAGAAAGCCUAUGGCAUUG